GACGAACGCUGGCGGCGUGCCUAAUACAUGCAAGUCGAACGAACCGCGACUAAGUGCUUGCACUAAGUCAAGGUGAGUGGCGAACGGGUGAGUAACACGUGGGUAACCUACCUCAUAGUGGGGGAUAACAGUCGGAAACGACUGCUAAUACCGCAUAGGACAUAGGAUCACAUGAUCCAGUGAGGAAAGGUGGCGCAAGCUAUCGCUACGAGAUGGACCCGCGGUGCAUUAGCUAGUUGGUAGGGUAAAGGCCUACCAAGGCGAUGAUGCAUAGCCGACCUGAGAGGGUGAUCGGCCACAUUGGGACUGAGACACGGCCCAAACUCCUACGGGAGGCAGCAGUAGGGAAUCUUCCGCAAUGGAUGCAAGUCUGACGGAGCAACGCCGCGUGAGUGAAGAAGGUCUUCGGAUCGUAAAGCUCUGUUGUUAGAGAAGAACAGCGCAUAGAGUAACUGCUAUGCGUGUGACGGUAUCUAACCAGAAAGCCACGGCUAACUACGUG
rnacentral:rRNA from 1 species